CCCCUGGAUGGCUUUGGACCAUCCGAUCGCACACUGAAUGUGGGCCACCAUCAAUUGAUAUGGGAUAGUGUAUUUUGGACCGUCCGAUCGGAUGGUCCACGACCUCGCAGCCAUUCGAUCGCACAAAAACUCAGCCACCCUCCUAUAGACCGUGACAAAGACCAACAAUUUUUUUCUGUGGACCAUGAUUUUGAUCCUAUGGACCGAGUGACCAA
rnacentral:lncRNA from 1 species